GGAACUGUAGCUUAUGUGGUAAAAGCAGUGGUCUGAAAAACCAUUGAUAAGGGUUCAACUCCCUUCGGUUCUACCA
rnacentral:tRNA from 1 species